rnacentral:rRNA from 1 species
UCGGAUGUGAAAUCGCCGGGCUCAACCUGGGAACUGCAUUCGAAACUGGCAGGCUAGAGUCUUGUAGAGGGGGGUAGAAUUCCAGGUGUAGCGGUGAAAUGCGUAGAGAUCUGGAGGAAUACCGGUGGCGAAGGCGGCCCCCUGGACAAAGACUGACGCUCAGGUGCGAAAGCGUGGGGAGCAAACAGGAUUAGAUACCCUGGUAGUCCACGCUGUAAACGAUGUCGAUUUGGAGGUUGUGCCCUUGAGGCGUGGCUUCCGGAGCUAACGCGUUAAAUCGACCGCCUGGGGAGUACGGCCGCAAGGUUAAAACUCAAAUGAAUUGACGGGGGCCCGCACAAGCGGUGGAGCAUGUGGUUUAAUUCGAUGCAACGCGAAGAACCUUACCUGGUCUUGACAUCCACAGAACUUNNCAGAGAUGNNUUGGUGCCUUCGGGAACUGUGAGACAGGUGCUGCAUGGCUGUCGUCAGCUCGUGUUGUGAAAUGUUGGGUUAAGUCCCGCAACGAGCGCAACCCUUAUCCUUUGUUGCCAGCGGUUAGGCCGGGAACUCAAAGGAGACUGCCAGUGAUAAACUGGAGGAAGGUGGGGAUGACGUCAAGUCAUCAUGGCCCUUACGACCAGGGCUACACACGUGCUACAAUGGCAUAUACAAAGAGAAGCGACCUCGCGAGAGCAAGCGGACCUCAUAAAGUAUGUCGUAGUCCGGAUUGGAGUCUGCAACUCGACUCCAUGAAGUCGGAAUCGCUAGUAAUCGUAGAUCAGAAUGCUACGGUGAAUACGUUCCCGGGCCUUGUACACACCGCCCGUCACACCAUGGGAGUGGGUUGCAAAAGAAGUAGGUAGCUU